CCCCUCUCAGGAUCAUACCUGGAGAGUUUCCAGUGCUCUAUCAGUCUCAACUAUGGGAGGGAGAGUCAAGCAGAGACAUACCCAAUCCAUUUCUAGACUGGACAGUGGCUAGUGAGUGGAAGGCAAUCUGCUACAAUU